rnacentral:tRNA from 1 species
AGCACUUUAGCCCAGUUGGAAGAGCGUCGGACUCAUAAUCCAAGAUUCAUGAAAUCCGAAGGACGUAAGAUCAAAACUUACAAGUGCUA